rnacentral:rRNA from 1 species
CCUACGGGUGGCAGCAGUAGGGAAUAUUGCUCAAUGGGGGAAACCCUGAAGCAGCAACGCCGCGUGGAGGAUGAAGGUUUUAGGAUUGUAAACUCCUUUUGUUAGAGAAGAAUAUGACGGUACCUGACGAAUAAGCACCAGCUAACUGCGUGCCAGCAGCCGCUGGAAUACGGAGGGUGCAAGCGUUACUCGGAAUUACUGGGCGUAAAGGGUGCGUAGGCGGGGUAAUAAGUCAGGCGGGAAAUGCUGUAGCUUAACUACAGAAGUGCCGUUGAAACUGUUAGUCUGGAGUGUGGGAGAGGUAAGUGGAAUUCGUGGUGUAGCGGUAAAAUGCGUAGAGAUCACGAGGAAUACUCAUUGCGAAGGCGGCCUACUGGAACCUAACUGACGCUGAGGCACGAAAGCGUGGGGAGCGAACAGGAUUAGAUACCCUAGUAGUC